rnacentral:rRNA from 1 species
CCUACGGGAGGCAGCAGUGGGGAAUAUUGCACAAUGGGCGCAAGCCUGAUGCAGCGACGCCGCGUGAGGGAUGACGGCCUUCGGGUUGUAAACCUCUUUCAGUAGGGAAGAAGCGAAAGUGACGGUACCUGCAGAAGAAGCGCCGGCUAACUACGUGCCAGCAGCCGCGGUAAUACGUAGGGCGCAAGCGUUAUCCGGAAUUAUUGGGCGUAAAGAGCUCGUAGGCGGUUUGUCGCGUCUGCCGUGAAAGUCCGGGGCUCAACUCCGGAUCUGCGGUGGGUACGGGCAGACUAGAGUGAUGUAGGGGAGACUGGAAUUCCUGGUGUAGCGGUGAAAUGCGCAGAUAUCAGGAGGAACACCGAUGGCGAAGGCAGGUCUCUGGGCAUUAACUGACGCUGAGGAGCGAAAGCAUGGGGAGCGAACAGGAUUAGAUACCCUGGUAGUCCAUGCCGUAAACGUUGGGCACUAGGUGUGGGGGACAUUCCACGUUUUCCGCGCCGUAGCUAACGCAUUAAGUGCCCCGCCUGGGGAGUACGGCCGCAAGGCUAAAACUCAAAGAUAGNGCGNGNGAGNGCGACGACGACGACGAGGAGGAG